GUAGGUGGGCAAGCGUUGUCCGGAAUUAUUGGGCGUAAAGCGCGCGCAGGGCGGUCCGUUUAAGUCUGAUGUGAAAAGCCCACGGCUCAAACCGUGGAGGGUCAUUGGAAAACUCGGGGGGACUUGAGUACAGAAGAGGAAAGCGGAAUUCCAAGUGUAGCGGUGAAAUGCGUAGAGAUUUGGAGGAACACCAGUGGCGAAGGCGGCUUUCUGGUCUGUAACUGACGCUGAGGCGCGAAAGCGGUGGGGAGCAAACAGGAUUAGAUACCCUGGUAGUCCACGACCGUAAACGAUGAGUGCUAAGUGUUAGGGGGUUUCCGCCCCUUAGUGCUGCAGCUAACGCAUUAAGCACUCCGCCUGGGGAGUACGGCCGCAAGGCUG
rnacentral:rRNA from 1 species